rnacentral:misc_RNA from 1 species
GAUGAAGAACGCAGCGAAAUGCGAUAAGUAAUGUGAAUUGCAGAAUUCAGUGAAUCAUCGAAUCUUUGAACGCACAUUGCGCCCCCCGGUAUUCCGGGGGGCAUGCCUGUUCGAGCGUCAUUUCACCACUCAAGCCUCGCUUGGUAUUGGGCAACGCGGUCCGCCGCGUGCCUCAAAUCGACCGGCUGGGUCUUCUGUCCCCUAAGCGUUGUGGAAACUAUUCGCUAAAGGGUGUUCGGGAGGCUACGCCGUAAAACAACCCCAUUUCUAAGGUUGACCUCGGAUCAGGUAGGGAUACCCGCUGAACUUAAGCAUAUCAAUAAGCGGAGGA